UCUCACCCCUUGUGCAUCACCGCGUGGGUCCCCCUUUGCCGGAGGGCCCGCGUCUUUACACAAAACUCGAUACAGUGUAGAACGUUUAUUUUCGCGCUCGCACGCGAUCAAUAAUACAACUUUCAACAACGGAUCUCUUGGCUCUCGCAUCGAUGAAGAACGCAGCGAAAUGCGAUACGUAAUGUGAAUUGCAGAAUUCAGUGAAUCAUCGAAUCUUUGAACGCACCUUGCGCCCCUUGGCAUUCCGAGGGGCACACCCGUUUGAGUGUCGUGAAAUCUUCAAAAACCCUCUCUUUCGAGGGGGAUUUUUGGACUUGGAGGUUCGAUGCUCGCUUUCGCCUUUUAGAAAGCGAGCUCCUCUCAAAUGAAUCAGUGGGGUCUGCUUUGCCGGUCCUUGACGUGAUAAGAUCUUUCUACGUUUCGGACUCGACAUCGUCCCGCUCCCAAUCGUCCCCACGGACAAAGGAUGGUGCUCCGGUCGCGGCCGGACCCAAAAA
rnacentral:rRNA from 1 species